rnacentral:rRNA from 1 species
GUCUACGGCCAUGCCACCCUGAACAAGCCCGAUCCCGCCUGAUCUUGGAAGCUAAGCAGGGUCAGGCCUGGUUAUUACUUGGAUAGAAGACCAUCUAGGAAGACCUGUAGGCAUAAAAA